rnacentral:lncRNA from 1 species
GUCCAUGGUGGUCCACGCGUAGUCUUCAUGACUGUCAGCUGGUCUCGAAGUGUUUAGUACACAGUGUUAGGAAGCCUGAAAAAUUAAAAUGGGCUGUUUUGCCUCCCACGGGGAGACAUUUCUGCAGUUUUUUCAUUGCUUCUGUGACGACUAGAAGAAACAGAACAAGGGAGAGAAUUUUGGAAUUCCAAAUGUCUCUGCUCCACUUGUCCCUUCUUUUCCUGAAGGAAAAAAAGAAGCAGCAGAAGGUGGAAGAGCAACUCGGGAGCAGGGUCUGGCAGACUUUCCCGGAGAGGGUCAGAGAGUGACCAUUUAGGCUUUGCAGGCCAGACGGUCUGUGCCCCAGGCACUCCACUCUGCCCCCCCCCCCCCCCCCCCCCGGAGUGGAUGCAGCCACACAGAGAACAAGCAACUCUGCCUGUGAAUUGUACCUGAAAUUACCUGGUGUGGAUUUGUGUGAUGGAGGAGCGUGGAAUUCACAAGCUCUUUGGCUGCUCCAAUGGCUCAUAUCUUUAACAAUUGCUGCCACGAGGAUUGAAACACUUGAAAGGCUGUCAUCAACUGUCCCUAUCAUUGUUUGUCUUUAUUCCCUUGGAAAGCUUGGAAUGUCAGGAUUCUUGCAGGGUAAUUACCAUAUCUACAACAUACAAGAUGCCAGCCCAUAUGGGAUACCCCAUAAUUUUGCAGCAACAGAAACAAACAGCCAUUUCUUGAUUAUGCCUCACAUGAACUGUGGUUACCGCAUCUUAAGCUUCAAAGCAUUGAAAAUUGCAGCAUCUCAUAAGCAAACCUAUUUGGCAAUUUUUUUCAACUGUCCAUGAACAAAUCUGCUGGUUCCUUCACUAAAAGCCUUCUUG